UACGUCAUAAGUCCAUUCCGCCAGUUGUGACGUCAUCAAAAAGCGACAGAACUAAACAGACACGCCUACUGCUGUGGUGCCCACACUCUCCUUGGCUAUGAAGCUAUUUUUACAAAUAUCUGCGUCGAAUCGACGAAAGGCCAUCAGGCGAAGGCGUCUUCGACAUCUGGGAGCAUUGCUGUAUCUUGCUGGGCAAAUGGGUCAUCCCACAAAUUAUUGCCGGUUGGACCAUAAUAUGCCUGUUCUAAGGUUGUGAUUCAAUGUUGAGGCGGACUUGAGGUGGGACCUACACCUCAGCAGAAGAGCCAUAAACGCUGUCCAAAAGCUGCUGAACAGAGAGAGCAGGACCAUGGUUGGGACGGGCAACUGGAGGUCCUGAUCUAUAUAUACUUGUUGGCACAUGGACUCUCUUACAUCGUGGUGGCUCGUGUGUUGAUGUGCAAUGUAUAUAAUUUUUGGUGAUAGUUUUUUUUUUUUUCACGCUUUUUCUCCUAUUUUCCCAUUACAUUCUAAUGUAAUGCAUCACAUUUUUAUUUUACAAAAUAAAUCUCUUCAAACCAA